rnacentral:rRNA from 1 species
CCAAUAGCGUAUAUUAAAGUUGUUGCAGUUAAAAAGCUCGUAGUUGAAUUUCGGGAUCAAUUAAUUGGUCGUGCCUCUGGUACGUACUGAUUUUAUUGGUUUCUCCCUUCUGACGAACCAUGAUGUCAUUAAUUUGGUGUCGUGGAGAAUCAGGACUGUUACUUUGAAAAAAUUAGAGUGUUUAAAGCAAGCUAACGCUUGAAUACAUUAGCAUGGAAUAAUGAAAUAGGACGUUUGAUCCUAUUUUGUUGGUUUCUAGGAUCGACGUAAUGAUUAAUAGGGAUAGUUGGGGGCGUUAGUAUUCAAUUGUCAGAGGUGAAAUUCUUGGAUUUAUUGAAGACUAACUACUGCGAAAGCAUUUGCCAAGGAUGUUUUCAUUAAUCAAGAACGAAAGUUAGGGGAUCGAAGACGAUCAGAUACCGUCGUAGUCUUAACCAUAAACUAUGCCGACUAGGGAUCGGAUGAUGUUAAUUUUUUAAUGACUCAUUCGGCGCCUUACG